UCCUCCGUGGCGCAAUUGGCUAGCGCGUUCGACUGUUAAACUCAAUAUCUUGUUUAUUUAAAAACAAUAAAAAGAAAAAACCGCCGUAGAAAAAAGCGGGGAGAGGGAAGCGAUCGAGAGGUUGACAGUUCAAGCCUGUCCGGGGGAG